AGGGGAAUUUUCCGCAAUGGGCGAAAGCCUGACGGAGCAAUGCCGCGUGGAGGUGGAAGGCCUACGGGUCGUCAACUUCUUUUCUCGGAGAAGAAACAAUGACGGUAUCUGAGGAAUAAGCAUCGGCUAACUCUGCGCCAG
rnacentral:rRNA from 1 species